rnacentral:tRNA from 1 species
AGCCAACCAUGGGGAUCGAACCCACGACCCACGCAUUACGAAUGCGUUGCUCUACCAACUGAGCUAGGUUGGC